GACGUAGGGCGCGAGCGUUGUCCGGAUUUAUUGGGCGUAAAGAGCUCGUAGGCGGCUUGUCGCGUCGUCUGUGAAAUCCCGCGGCUCAACCGCGGGUCUGCAGUCGAUACGGGCAGGCUAGAGUUCGGUAGGGGAGACUGGAAUUCCUGGUGUAGCGGUGAAAUGCGCAGAUAUCAGGAGGAACACCGGUGGCGAAGGCGGGUUGCUGGGCCGACACUGACGCUGAGGCGCGAAAGCCAGGGGAGCGAACGGG
rnacentral:rRNA from 1 species